ACACAUGCAAGUCGAGGGGAAACGACAUCGAAAGCUUGCUUUUGAUGGGCGUCGACCGGCGCACGGGUGAGUAACGCGCAUCCAACCUGCCCACCACUUGGGGAUAACCUUGCGAAAGUAAGACUAAUACCCAAUGACGUCUCUAGAAGACAUCUGAAAGAGAUUAAAGAUUUAUCGGUGAUGGAUGGGGAUGCGUCUGAUUAGCUUGUUGGCGGGGUAACGGCCCACCAAGGCAACGAUCAGUAGGGGUUCUGAGAGGAAGGUCCCCCACAUUGGAACUGAGACACGGUCCAAACUCCUACGGGAGGCAGCAGUGAGGAAUAUUGGUCAAUGGACGAGAGUCUGAACCAGCCAAGUAGCGUGCAGGAUGACGGCCCUAUGGGUUGUAAACUGCUUUUAUAAGGGAAUAAAGUGAGUCUCGUGAGACUUUUUGCAUGUACCUUAUGAAUAAGGACCGGCUAAUUCCGUGCCAGCAGCCGCGGUAAUACGGAAGGUCCGAGCGUUAUCCGGAUUUAUUGGGUUUAAAGGGAGCGUAGGCCGGAGAUUAAGCGUGUUGUGAAAUGUAGACGCUCAACGUCUGCACUGCAGCGCGAACUGGUUUCCUUGAGUACGCACAAAGUGGGCGGAAUUCGUGGUGUAGCGGUGAAAUGCUUAGAUAUCACGAAGAACUCCGAUUGCGAAGGCAGCUCACUGGAGCGCAACUGACGCUGAAGCUCGA
rnacentral:rRNA from 1 species